UACGUAGGGUGCAAGCGUUAAUCGGAAUUACUGGGCGUAAAGGGCUCGUAGGUGGCCAACUAAGUCAGACGUGAAAUCCCUCGGCUUAACCGGGGAACUGCAUCUGAUACUGGCUGUCUUGAGUUCGGGAGAGGUGAGUGGAAUGCCGAGUGUAGAGGUGAAAUUCGUAGAUAUUCGGCGGAACACCAGUGGCGAAGGCGACUCACUGGCCUGAUACUGACGCUGAGGCGCGAAAGCGUGGGGAGCAAACAGG
rnacentral:rRNA from 1 species